AUUCAGCUGACGAUUCCCAAAUAGGACGAAAUGCGCGUCGUGAAU
rfam:Schistosoma haematobium scaffold319_12, whole genome shotgun sequence.